rnacentral:rRNA from 1 species
UACGGAGGGUGCGAGCGUUGUCCGGAAUCAUUGGGCGUAAAGGGCGCGUAGGUGGCCUGCUAAGCGUGCGGUGAAAGUCGGGGGCUCAACCCCCGAUCGCCGUGCGAACUGGGAGGCUUGAGCACUGUAGAGGCAGGCGGAAUUCCGGGUGUACGCGGUGGAAUGCGUAGAGAUCCGGAAGAACACCGGUGGCGAAGGCGGCCUGCUGGGCAGUUUGCUGACACUGACGGCGCGACGAGCGCUGGGGAGCAA